rnacentral:rRNA from 1 species
GUGGGGAAUAUUGGGCAAUGGGCGCAAGCCUGACCCAGCAACGCCGCGUGAAGGAAGAAGGCUUUCGGGUUGUAAACUUCUUUUACCAGGGACGAAACAAAUGACGGUACCUGGUGAAUAAGCCACGGCUAACUACGUGCCAGCAGCCGCGGUAAUACGUAGGUGGCGAGCGUUAUCCGGAUUUAUUGGGUGUAAAGGGCGUGUAGGCGGGACAGCAAGUCAGAUGUGAAAACCAGAGGCUCAACCUCUGGCCUGCAUUUGAAACUGUUGUUCUUGAGUGUCGGAGAGGUAAUCGGAAUUCCGUGUGUAGCGGUGAAAUGCGUAGAUAUACGGAGGAACACCAGUGGCGAAGGCGGAUUACUGGACGAUAACUGACGCUGAGGCGCGAAAGCUAGGGGAGCGAACGGGAUUAGAUACCCCGGUAGUCC